UUGGUGCCUUCGGGAACUGUGAGACAGGUGCUGCAUGGCUGUCGUCAGCUCGUGUUGUGAAAUGUUGGGUUAAGUCCCGCAACGAGCGCAACCCUUAUCCUUUGUUGCCAGCGGUUAGGCCGGGAACUCAAAGGAGACUGCCAGUGAUAAACUGGAGGAAGGUGGGGAUGACGUCAAGUCAUCAUGGCCCUUACGACCAGGGCUACACACGUGCUACAAUGGCAUAUACAAAGAGAAGCGACCUCGCGAGAGCAAGCGGACCUCAUAAAGUAUGUCGUAGUCCGGAUUGGAGUCUGCAACUCGACUCCAUGAAGUCGGAAUCGCUAGUAAUCGUAGAUCAGAAUGCUACGGUGAAUACGUUCCCGGGCCUUGUACACACCGCCCGUCACACCAUGGGAGUGGGUUGCAAAAGAAGUAGGGGUAGUUAACCUUUGGGGGGGGCGUUUCCCAUUUUGUGUUUCAUGACGGGGGUAAAGUCGAAAAAGGGAACCCGUGGGGAACCCUGGGUUGGGACACCUCCUUACCUUAAAGAA
rnacentral:rRNA from 1 species